CCUCCCCGACUCCUCUCUCUCACCCGACCCUGACUCUCCCUCACCCGACCCGACUCCUCCCGAACAGGAACGAAGACCAGGCAGCGGCCCGACCUAGAUCUCGCGCCGCCCGGGCGCGCCGCCGGCCCGCCCCCGCCGGAUCCGCCUUGUCCUCGACCGGAUCCGCCUCUUCCACCGGUUCCGCCCCCCGUUCCCAUCGUGGUCUGGCCCUGCUCCGCCGCCCGUCCCUCGACUCCCCGCCGGCUCCUGCUCCUUCCCGGCCGGCUCUCCCCCCACCGGCCACUGCUCCUUCCCCGCUGGCUCUCCCUCCUCCGACUAGCAUCUCCUCCGCCGACGCCCCUGCUUCUCCAACCAGCAACAAACCUGCAAGUGAAAUAAUGGAUGAUAAGCAAGUCCAAAAGGCUGUGUGGGAUACCGAUGCGGCAAGGAUUUUUUGUGAGAUUGCUUGCAAAGAGGCCAACGAGGGCAAUAGGCCUACCAAGACUUUGGUUAUAAAAAUUUAAGUGAGGAGUUCCAUAAGCAAACUGGAAGGCUAUAUACACGUAAGCAAUUCAAAAACCGUUGGGACGAAUUCAAAUGCAUCUGGACAUCAUGGGUGUAUUACAUGACAAAGGCUACUGGACUUGGAUAGGAUCCUGUUAAGAAGACUAUAACAGCUAGUGAAGAACAGUGGGCUGACCUGAUCAAGGUCCAUAAGGAUAUUAGACGUUUUCGAAAAAGGCCCCCGGACAACUUGGAAUGGCUAGAGAAAAUGUUCCAAAAAGCUAGUGUGACCGGCAAUUCUUCGGUGAUGCCCGAAGCUGAAGAAGAUGACAUUGCAGAAUGCCAAGACGUCGUUGUAUUGUUGAUUUGGAGGCUGAUGAUGAAGGAACCCCUCAACCUAGAAGCGUGGGGGGGGGGGGGGGGGCAAGUGCCAUACCUUGCAGUCCAAAGAGACCCAAGAAAGAUCCUUAUGGAAAGGAUUUCAAAAGAUUUGUUGAUCAUGUCAUUAGUGAGAAAAAAUCAGAGGCAUCUAGCAAUGUGUCAGUUGCAAAUGAUAUUGAUGCCAUCAUGGAGGAAGUUGUCAAGUGUGAGGCACCUGAAACAAGUGAUGAGUACUAUAUUGCAACAAAGUUGUUUGGUAAACUUGAAAAUAAGUGUUUCUUCUAUGCUAUGAAGACUAGUGAGGGGAGACUCCAGUGGUUGAAGAGGCAGUACGCGGACAGGAAGAGGCAUUAGAAAUUCAUUCACUUGUGUGUUGUAUCCUUCAAUUUAUUUCAGACUUGUGUGUGCUGCUACUGUUUCGUAAUAUUGUGUGUGACCUGAACAAUGUAUUUGUAUUCUUCAAUUUAUUUCAGAUUUGUUGUUGCUGCUGUAUUGUUGUUGUUGUUGUCAAAUAAAUAUGGUAGAUGUUGCUGUAUUGUUGCUGCUGUUGUAUUCUUGCUGCUGCUGCUGUCAAAUAAAUAUUGUUGUUGUUACUGUAUUGCUACUGUCAAAUAAAUAUUGUUGUUGUUGCUGUAUUGUUGCUGUCAAAUAAAUAUUGUUUCUGCUGCUGUUUUGUUGCUACUGCUCACAUAUUUUACUUGCUGCUGUUUUUGGAUGAGUUCAUCAACAGAGGCUGAGAGUGCCUCAAGUGACUCAAGUGAUGGAGACAUUAAUAUUGCUGCCGAGAAGAGGAAGUUAAGGAAAAAGAGACGCAAUCGAAAUGUGGCUGUUCUUUUUGGUUCUACCUGCAUGCUAGAAAAUAUUUUAACAAAAGGAAGAGGAGGGAGUAUAGGUGCACCGGUCAGCAGUGGACCUAUGACUACAGAAGAUUGUUAUGAAAUGUAUAGGAUGACCAGGCCUUGUUUUGAUGCUUUGCAUGACAGGCUGGUAGAACAUUAUGGUUUGAAAGGGACAAAGUUUAUGUGUUUUGAAGAGGCUCUUGCAAUGUUUCUAUGGACUGUUGGUGGUCCCCCAAUCUGUGAGCCAAGUGCACAAUCGCUUCCAUAGAUCAACUGACACCAUUCACAGGAAAUUCAACCAUGUGUUGGCAUGCUUGAAUAGAAUGGCAGGAGACAUCAUAAGGCCCUUCGAUCGCAAAUUCAGAACCAUGCAUGACAGGAUUCGUGACUCUAGGUUUUAUCCACACUUCAAUAAUUGCAUUGGUGCAAUCGAUGGUAUGCAUAUACCAGUUGUUGUGCCGGCUGAUGAGAUGAUUAACCAUGUUGGUCGCCAUGGUUAUGCCACUCAGAAUGUCAUGGCAGUAUGUGACUUCGACAUGCGAUUCACCUCUAUAGUAGCUGGGUGGCUAGGUUCUGCACAUGACACAAGGAUAUUCAGAGACACACUUGACAAGUACAAGAAGAGAUUUCCACACCCUCCAGCAGGCAAAUAUUAUCUUG